UGACCCUUUGCAGAGAAGUUGUUGGAGAUGAACCUUCCACAUGCUGUUUGCAUGAAGGAAGCGAGCUGGAAUUUAAUGGUGACGGCAUGGUGGCUUAUGCCUGUGAUACCAGCCCACUGGGAGACGGAAGCAGGAGGAUUACUGUGAGUUCAAAGCCACCCCGAGCUACAUAGUGAGUUCCAGGCUUAUUACAGAAUGGCUCAUCCAUGAACUCAGUUACGGUGGAGUCUACACGUUUAUGACUGGAACGAGUUGAAUGGUGAAUUAGCCUGUGGAAAAGGUACCUUGCUAGAACAAAAGCUUUGGCUUCACGAUCUGUGCCCUCUCAUUGCCUUACUGCACCCCAAACAAAAGGCAUUGAAAUUUGAAAAGGCAUUGAAAUUUGGCAAUAGCGGAAGGCGUCCACUUUAACUAAAACUGCACAUAUUUAGAAUAAAGU
rnacentral:lncRNA from 1 species